UACGUAGGGUGCGAGCGUUAAUCGGAAUUACUGGGCGUAAAGCGUGCGCAGGCGGUGAUGUAAGACAGAUGUGAAAUCCCCGGGCUCAACCUGGGACCUGCAUUUGUGACUGCAUCGCUAGAGUACGGCAGAGGGGGGUGGAAUUCCGCGUGUAGCAGUGAAAUGCGUAGAUAUGCGGAGGAACACCAGUGGCGAAGGCGGCUACCUGGACCGGUUCUGACGCUGAUGCGCGAAAGCGUGGGUAGCAAACAGG
rnacentral:rRNA from 1 species